rnacentral:ncRNA from 2 species
UAUCGUUUAAAACUCCGAAGCCUAAUGCGCUAAGUCUGAAGAUAUGCAAGUUAGGCCGUAAAAACCCGUUUGGACAAACCUGUGGGUUAUUUACCAGGGUUAGCUUAGAAAUAAUCUGGCCUCCCGUAUUUGGAAAGGUGUUUAUGUUACAAGACA